UACGUAGGGGGCAAGCGUUAUCCGGAUUUACUGGGUGUAAAGGGAGCGUAGACGGCUGUGCAAGCCUGAAGUGAAAGGCGGGGGCCCAACCCCUGGACUGCUUUGGGAACUGUACGGCUGGAGUGCAGGAGAGGUAAGUGGAAUUCCUAGUGUAGCGGUGAAAUGCGUAGAUAUUAGGAGGAACACCAGUGGCGAAGGCGGCUUACUGGACUGUAACUGACGUUGAGGCUCGAAAGCGUGGGGAGCAAACAGG
rnacentral:rRNA from 1 species